UACGUAGGGUGCGAGCGUUGUCCGGAAUUAUUGGGCGUAAAGAGCUUGUAGGCGGUUUGUCGCGUCUGCUGUGAAAUCUCAAGGCUCAACCUUGAGCUUGCAGUGGGUACGGGCAGACUAGAGUGUGGUAGGGGAGACUGGAAUUCCUGGUGUAGCGGUGAAAUGCGCAGAUAUCAGGAGGAACACCGAUGGCGAAGGCAGGUCUCUGGGCCACUACUGACGCUGAGAAGCGAAAGCAUGGGGAGCGAAUAGG
rnacentral:rRNA from 1 species